rnacentral:ncRNA from 1 species
UUAAAGUUUUAUUCUUGCUUAAAGAUUUGUUUAUGGUUUCUUUUACAUGUAAAUUUUUGUAUAAUUUAUUUAAAAAUUGAAAAUUUUUAAAGAUUAAAUUUAUUCGCAGUAAUUAAUAUUGUUAAUCUAGAAGACUAGGAAAUAGGAAUAUUAUUUAAUAUUGGUAAAAUUUGUGCCAGCAACCGCGGUUAUACAUAAAAUGUUAAUAAACUUUAUUAGUAUUAGUUAAAUGAAAUGUAAUAAAAUAACUUAAUUUUUGUUAGGUGAAAUUUGAAAUUUAAUUUUAUUUAUAUUUAGGAAAAAUUGAAACUAGGAAAUUUCAACAUUAAACUAGGAUUAGAUACCCUAUUAUUUGGAAUGUAAUUUGUUUACUAGAGUAGUAGUAGUUAUGUUCUUGAAACUUAAAGAAUUUGGCGGUAUUUAAUCUAUUCAGAGGAAUCUGUUCUAUAAUCGAUAGUCCACGAAUAUCUAACUUGGGUUUGCUAAUCAGUUUGUAUACCGCUGUUAUAGAUUAUCUUUUUAGAGAAAUAAUUUUCUUAAUUUUGUAAAAAAUUAUAUCAGGUCAAGGUGCAGCUUAUACUUAAGGUGGAGAUGGAUUACAAUAAAGUUAUUUAUACGGAGAUGAAAUUGAAAUAUUUUUUUAAAGGUGGAUUUGAUAGUAAAAUUAUUAAUUAUAUUAAUUUGAUUUUAGUUCUAAAAUAUGCACACAUCGCCCGUCGCUCUUAUUUCUUUAUGAAUAAUAUAAAAUAAGAUAAGUCGUAACAUAGUAGGAUUACUGGAAAGUGAUUCUAGAAUGAU